rnacentral:rRNA from 1 species
UUUAUUUGAGAGUUUGAUCCUGGCUCAGGAUGAACGCUGGCGGCGUGCCUAACACAUGCAAGUUGAGCGAUUUACUUCGGUAAAGAGCGGCGGACGGGUGAGUAACGCGUGGGUAACCUACCCUGUACACACGGAUAACAUACCGAAAGGUAUGCUAAUACGGGAUAAUAUGUUUGAGAGGCAUCUCUUGAAUAUCAAAGGUGAGCCAGUACAGGAUGGACCCGCGUCUGAUUAGCUAGUUGGUAAGGUAACGGCUUACCAAGGCGACGAUCAGUAGCCGACCUGAGAGGGUGAUCGGCCA